rnacentral:rRNA from 1 species
UACAGAGGUCGCGAGCGUUAAUCGGAUUUACUGGGCGUAAAGCGUGUGUAGGUGGUUAUACAAGUCGGUUGUGAAAUCCCCGGGCUCAACCCGGGAACUGCGUCCGAUACUGGCAGGCUUGAAUCCGGGAGAGGGAUGUGGAAUUCCAGGUGUAGCGGUGAAAUGCGUAGAUAUCUGGAGGAACACCGGUGGCGAAGGCGGCAUCCUGGACCGGUAUUGACGCUGAGGCGCGAAAGCCAGGGGAGCAAACGGG